rfam:Firmicutes bacterium CAG:110 genomic scaffold, scf320
GGCGACCGGUGAGUACGCU